rnacentral:rRNA from 1 species
CCUACGGGAGGCAGCAGUGGGGAAUAUUGCACAAUGGGGGAAACCCUGAUGCAGCGACGCCGCGUGAGUGACGAAGUAUUUCGUUAUGUAAAGCUCUAUCAGCAGGGAAGAAAAUGACGGUACCUGUGUAAGAAGCCCCGGCUAACUACGUGCCAGCAGCCGCGGUAAUACGUAGGGGGCAAGCGUUAUCCGGAUUUACUGGGUGUAAAGGGAGCGUAGACGGCAGUGCAAGUCUGGAGUGAAAGGCGGGGGCUCAACCCCCGGACUGCUCUGGAAACUGUACGGCUGGAGUGCAGGAGAGGUAAGUGGAAUGCGUAGUGUAGCGGUGAAAUGCGUAGAUAUUAGGAGGAACACCAGUGGCGAAGGCGGCUUACUGGACUGUAACUGACGUUGAGUCUCGAAAGCGUGGGGAGCAAACAGGAUUAGAUACCCCAGUAGUC